rnacentral:tRNA from 1 species
GACUCCGUAGCUCAGUUGGUAGAGCAAUUGACUCUUAAUCAAUGGGCCGUGGGUUCGAGUCCCACCGGGGUCACCA